UGCCUAACCCUAACCCUUUCUAACCCUAAACCCUACCUAACCUAAACCAAGCUAACCCUAAACCCUGCCUAAACCUAACCUUAAAACCCUACAUAGACCUAACCAUAAAUCCCAUCUAACCCUAAAACUCUUCCAACCCUAAACACUAAAAAAUAAUCUCAAAACUGAAAGCUAAAAAAUCCUAAACUCUACCGCUAUGUAAUUUGUUGUUGUGAUAUUCAAAUAACAAAUUACAUAGCGGAAUUCAAAUCUUACAUCAAUUAUUUUAAUUGCCAAAAUAUUUUGAAAGUUGAAUCUUAUGAAUAAAAAAAGUAAAUUAUAUUUUAAUAACGUUAAAUUUUGUUAAAAUAGAAUGAAAAACUAUUAUCAUAAAUAAAUAAAAAAAUUUGAUGAAAUUUGAAAAUCUUCUAAUCAAUAACAAUUAAUUAGUAAUUUUUCAAAAACCCUUAAACUAUUAUAGCAGUAGAAUCUCAAAAAAAAAAAAAUCUCAAACAUUUAUUUGCCAAUAAUCAUCCUUAAAUCUUUGCUCAUUCAAAAAAAUAAUAUUAUUUACAUAAAUUGGAAACAAGUUUUGUUUUUUGACUAGAGACCCAAGUUUAAACUAUACCACUAAAUAUUAAAAUAUUUAAUUGUUCAGGAAUAACAAGUUAUUGUUCUUAAAACAAUAAUCAUCCUUAAAUCUUUACUCAUUCAAAAAAAUAAUAUUCUUUACAUAAAUUGGAAACAAGUUUUAAUUGUUUUAAAAUAUAUAUAUUUAUAUAUUCGAGAGUAGACAAUGCAUAGAUGAUACUAAAUUGAUCGCAAGAAUUCUUUUUGGAAAACACUCUCGAAACCUGUUCUUGGACUCAGCAUGCUGACCCAUUCCGUGGACUGUUCGGGUGAUUUUGGCCGGCGUGGGCUGUCUGUGCAGUAGACACAGGACGUCUGCUGCAAUGUAAAGUCUAAAACGACUCUCGGCAACGGAUAUCUCGGCUCUCGCAUCGAUGAAGAACGUAGCGAAAUGCGAUAUAGUAUAUAUUAUAAUAGAUGAGUUUUUACUCAAUUCUCAGCCUAUCCACCUCAGCAUGUGGAUCCCACUAAAUUUCUAUGUAUUAAAAAAAAAUUAUGUUUAAAACUGUUUAAUAACGAGUAUAGGUUAAUAUCUAAUGGGCUUCAUCAUAAAAAUCAAAGAAAAGACCCAAUUGAAAUCUAUUGUUUUUUUUAGUUUCGUAAGCGUCGUCUUCCUAGGAGAAAAAAAAAUAGGGCUUUCCUCCAUUCCUUCAGACAAAUCUCAAAACACAGAAUGACCUUUUGUAUUUUUAAUUACAACUAUUUUUAUGGAUUUGAGUGAGUAGAUCGAGAGAAACAAUGAUGUAAAUAAAGUUUAUUAAAGUUUAAUGUUAUUAUAAGUAUUGAUAAUCAAUGGAUAUAUAUAUGUGAGAGAGAUUUCAUGAAGUCAAAAGAAAAUAAAAAAUUGUAAGAUGACAAGAAUGAUAUAUAAAAGUUUACCAAAAAAAAAGAAUGAUAUAUAUAUAUGUGGAAGGGAAAACACACAAAGAACAUGCAAAAUUAACGUUACAUAUAUAUGUCUCAUACAAAAAUAAAUGAAGUGAAAAAAGAAAACUAAUAAGUGAAUGUAAAUGUAAUUAAGUGAAAAUAUUCAUUUUUUUCUGAGGUAAAUCAAUCAUACACUUUUAUAUUAUUUUGAAUAUAAUCUCAGAAAAUUAAUUGAAAGAUUUUCCUUACAAAAAUAUAAUUAAUGCAAGUUUAUGUUUAUAUGCUUAGGUAAAUGAAUCAUGCACUUUUAUAUUAUUUUGAUUAUAAUCUUCAAAAAUUAAUUGAAAAAGUUUCUUUAGAAAAAUAUAAUUAACACAAGUUUAUGUUUUUAUGUAGAUUGAUAUGCUUAGGUAAAUGAAUCAUGCACUUUUAUAUUAUUUUGACUAUAAUCUCAGAAAAUUAAUUGAAAGAUUUUCUUACAAAAAUAUAAAUAAUGCAAGUUUAAUUUAUAUGCUUAGGUAAAUGAAUCAUGCACUUUUAUAUUAUUUUGACUAUAAUCUCAUAAAAUUAAUUGAAAGAUUUCCUUACGAAAAUAUAAUUAAUGCAAGUUUGUGUUUAUAUGCUUAGGUAAAUGAACCAUGCACUUUUAUAUUACUUUGACUAUAAUCUCAGAAAAUUAAUUGAAAGAUUUUAUUUACAAAAAUAUAAUUAAUGCAAGUUUAUGUUUAUAUGUGUAUAUAUAUAUAUAUAUAUAUCAAUCUAAAAUAUAAUAGAACUCUCAAACAAUUUAUAAAACAUCCUACAAAAUGAUUCUCUCCAAAAAAUAUAUAUUAAUCGCAUUUGUUUUCACUAUUUUUUUCGCGACGUCAAUUGUUCGCUGCACCGAUAUUGUUUCAGAUUUCGGAGUAAAAAAAGCAUAUAAUCUAUGCUAUGGUCCAUGUGACGACAAAGGAGUGUGUACGCCGUUUUGUUAUACCAAAAAGGGUCCGAUAAGGGGAGACUGUGUUGGUGGCACUUGUUGUUGUGCUGAACAUUUAAUAAAAUAUUAAAUAAUAUCAUUAGAUAUUAUAUCUCGCAUGAAAUGAAAUAAUACUACCAAUAAUACAUUAAAUGCUUUUACAAAAAAAAA